GUGAUGGAAUAUUUAUUGAUAACAUGAAAUGCGCUUAGCAUAUCCUUUAAGCUCUAUCCAUGAAUGCAAAUCCUGCAGUUGCACUGGCCAAAGAAAAUUCUAUCGCACCAAUAUUGACGGACCUGGCCACUGAAAUGAAACAUGCAUGUAGCCUUGCAAUCAGGGUUGAUACAAAGCGUCCUCCGAUACCAAGAAAUCAAACAUUUCUCUGCGUACACAAACAUAGUAAAAAUAAAUACCAUAAGAGUGAGAGAUGGAUUGUAAUAACAAGAUUUUAUAUCAUUGAGUAAAAGUGAUAAGAUGUCAAAAGCCUCAAGGACAUACGCAGAAUGUGCAUCAAGAUCAUAUUAGAGAAAACUCUUGGUAGUACGAUUUUGAAAUCUUAUAAAGAUUUUUCAAGAUUCUUCAUUUGAAGUAACAUGUGCCCCGGGAAAUUUGGUUUAGAAAAACAAAAGAGAGAACACACCUGCAGACGUAGUGCUUCCGAACAACACAAGGAUCACCAAAAAACAAGCGGUGAUAGACCUUCCGUCCAUUCUUGAAUCACACGCUCCAACGAGAGCCAAAGGGUAAUCAAGCCUUUAAACAAAAUGCCAAAAGGAUAUGGAAUGGCGUGAAAUCUCGAAACUUCUAGACAAAGACAUAUAAAGUGAAUCCAUAAGAUAACAUUACCAAGUACAAAUGGGUUAUCUGUAAUGAAGCCAAAGUCGUGAUAUAUAAGUAAAGAAUAUAUGGAAUGAUAUCAUAUAUAUAGACUUUUAGAGGAAGGCAUAUAAAAGGGAAACCAAUCGAAUCAAUUGUGAAAUCUAGGUAUCAAUGCAAAAAUAUUUAUAAAUUGGACAGUGAAUUAAUUUGAAAAUCAAGCCAUUAAUUGCAUUAAUAGGCAACCAAUUAAUUACGCAUGCAAUAUAUUAAGCCUAUUUUCUACUCCUAAAAGGGAAGUUUGUAUAUAGUUGGUCCCCAUCCUUUAAUGCAAAAACAAUAAAAAACAAGCACCGGAUCAAUUUGAAAAUCAAGUCAUUAAUGUAAUUAAUAGGUAGACAAUUAAUUACGUAUCGAAUCAAUUGUGAAACCGAGGUAUUAAUGCAAAAACAAUAAAGAAACCGAGACGCAAAUCAAUUUGAAUAUCAAGUCAUUAAUGCAAUUAAUAUGCAAACAAUUAAUUACGCAUGCAAUGAAUUAAAUCUAUUUAAGUACUACAUCCGUCAGAGUUUAUAUGGCACGGUUAAAUUUACGUACAUGUCUAUAAUAGACAAGGUUUAGGACGCACUGCAUUUACUCCUAGCAGCUAAUUAGUACUCCACUGUACUACUUCUAUAUGCAUGCGUAGUGUGAAUGCUAUUUUUCAGCCUAUCUCACAUCCAAUCAAUAACCAUCUAGGUUCCAGAGAAUUUUCAUUCACGCCUUCUAAACCGUGAUGGAGGGUGUAAAGAUUUUCUCACAUCGAAUCAAUUUGGAAAUCAAGACAUUAAUAUCAUUAAUAGGAAGACAAUUAAUUACACAUGCUAUUAACUAACUAUGUUUAAGUAUGGAUUUUUUUCACGCUAAAUCAAUUAUGAAUUCGAUUCAUUGAUAGAAAAUACUGAAGAAACCGAGGACAUGAUGAAUUUGGAAAUCAGGCCAUUAAUGCAAUUAAUAGACAUAUAAUUAAUUGUUGGGAAACAUUGUAGAAAAACAAACCGCCCAGCAAUCAACCAGGAACAAUAUGAAGAUACGAUAAGGGUUGGGAUGACGAUCGUUACCGUCAUCGGGUUACAACGAAAGAAGAAUGUGGUGAUGUAGAUCGGGUUUGGAGUCCCUCCAACCGUAGAUGAACGAUCUCGCAAACCGCCCACAAAUGAUUCCUCAAAUUGAAGACCGAAAGUAUUGUCUCUCUAUUUGGUUGCAAGCGUACGGUCUUCACGAUCCGGUAGCGCUUCGUCGUCCAGAGCUAAUCGUCGCCGAAGAAUUAGAGGGAGGAGAAUAGAACAACAGUGGACUUCUAAUUAUGAGGAUGAGAGGAACUAGACCAAUGUCUAAUUAGUCGACCAUGACCAACUAGAACUAGAACUAGAAGAACUAGAGGAAAC
rnacentral:lncRNA from 1 species